UAUAUAGAAGAAAUUCUCAUGAAAAUGCAUUCGUAUAGUUGUGAGAAAGCAGUUGAAGCAACAAUGGUGGAGGAGUCUAAAGAACACGAGGAAAUUAAACCAACCAUGUAAUUAAGCAUGUGAUAGCAUUGACCGUUAGCUUUACCUUCCCGUCCAAAAUUUGUAAUUAAUUUAGCUUUCCCUUCAUUAAUUGCCAUUCAACUUCACAGCUUCUGUAAACUCCCUUUCAGUUUAGCCGCUAUUAAUUAAGUACAUUCAAAUCCCUCAUGCGCAUGCUUUAGCUUUCAGCAAUGUAAGUCUCUCUCUAUUUUUCCAUUUAUUAUUUAAAAAAAAAAAAAUCAAUCUGCAAGCUUCUGUUCUAAUAUGAACUUGUCACACACGCAGAAAUUAAAAAUAACGCGCGUAAAUUAGUUAAUCAUGCAAAGCUGUUCAGAGAAGAAGCCGGGAGUGCACACAUACAUGGCUCAAUGGCCAAUUUCCACGGUGGCAUGGUCGGUCCGUCACGACAGGAAAUCACGACUAGCCGUCGGG
rnacentral:lncRNA from 1 species